rnacentral:misc_RNA from 1 species
AAACUGCGAUAAGUAGUGUGAAUUGCAUUUAGUGAAUCAUCGAAUCUUUGAACGCACCCUGCACUCACUGGUAUUCCGGUGAGUACGCCUGUUUCAGUAUCAUUGAAAACACACAAUCAAAACAUUUUCUUUGGUUUGAUUGGCUUUGGGUCUAUCAAAAAGUUUGGCUUGUUUCUUACAAUCCAAGCGGCCUGAAAUAUAUUGUCUGGCUAAUUGCAUCGUUGAUGAUCGCUAUUAGACUUUGGCUUUUUUAAAUGAACUGGAGGUUGAUUAACCAGUUUUAGCUUUAGUCAAAUGGUCAUUGUAAAAAAAAUCUCGAUCUUGGCUAGGUGUUUAUAGCCGAAAAUUUUUUUUUGGCUAUAACCGAAACCAAUAUAAUCACAUUUAGUUAUCGAUCUGAAAUCAGGUGGGACUACCCGCUGAACUUAAGC